GCUGGUCAUGGUGGUGCAUGCCUGUAAUCCCAGUGCCUUGUGAGGCUGAGACAGGAGGAUCAUGAGUUCAAAGCCAGCCUCAGCAAUGACAAGGCACUAAGCAACUCAGUGAGACCCUGUCUCUA
rnacentral:sRNA from 1 species